AACCUCCGCAAUGUGAGAAAUCGCGACGGGGGGAUCCCAAGUGCCAUUCUUAACGGGAUGGCUUUUCAUUAGUGUAAAGAGCUUUUGGAAUAAGGGCUGGGCAAGACCGGUGCCAGCCGCCGCGGUAACACCGGCAGCUCUAGUGGUAGCAGUUUUUAUUGGGCCUAAAGCGUCCGUAGCCGGUUUAAUAAGUCUCUGGUGAAAUCCUGUAGCUUAACUGUGGGAAUUGCUGGAGAUACUAUUAGACUUGAGACCGGGAGAGGUUAGAGGUACUCCCAGGGUAGAGGUGAAAUUCUGUAAUCCUGGGAGGACCGCCUGUUGCGAAGACGUCUAACUGGAACGGUUCUGACGGUGAGGGACGAAAGUUAGGGGCGCGAACCGGAUUAGAUACCCGGGUAGUCCUAACUGUAAACGAUGCGGACUUGGUGUUGGGGUGGCUUUGAGCUGCUCCAGUGCCGAAGGGAAGCUGUUAAGUCCGCCGCCUGGGAAGUACGGUCGCAAGACUGAAACUUAAAGGAAUU
rnacentral:rRNA from 1 species